rnacentral:lncRNA from 1 species
ACUGCUAGCUGAUACUACUGUUCGGAGAGAUGGCAGAACUUUCGGGAGGUGAGAUUUAGCUGGAAGAAUUAGGACUUAAGGCCAUUGCUGGAUCAAGGAAGAAAGCAGAACAGGUGAACAGGAGCAGCCAUCUCCCCAGCAGACCCAAGAGAGCAUCAUACAUAGUAAACGGAAUCUCUCCACACUGGGAUUCUAUUGCAACAACUGGAUGCUCCCCUACUGUGUAAGCUGUCUCAGACAAACCCCACAGAACAGAUGGAACAACCCACCACUCCAAACAUCUCUUCCUGGCUCUUUGCUGGAACCCCAGGGGGCAAGAUAUCCACAACCACUAGAAACAAUGUCUUCCGACUCCUAAGCAGACACUGUGUCAGCCUCCAGCCUCCCACCGGCUGCAAAGAAUAAAAAUAAAUGAACCAAAGACCAGACCA